ACUUUAAAACAGAUUUUUACCCGUAUAAAUCCUUUAUCGUUAUUAUACAGAUAAUAUAAAGAGGAGAGAAAUAAAUCAUUAUAGCAAAUAAUAUAGCAAAAAAUAAAGUGAGCUGCUUAUAGGAUAUCUAUUGAUUUUAGUAACUGUAAAUUCCCAAAGUAAGUUUGAAUCACUUUAUAUAGCAUAAGCAGGGUCACAUUUAGGUGUACAUUUUUGUGAUUAUAUUCUCAGAUGGUGUGUAAGCCUUAUUGAUUUAUCACUGGAUAUUGCUGUGUUUUUAUGUUCAGUGUUCUUUAUAUAGUAACAGUAGAAAAGAGAAUAAUUAUAAAGGUAUUUGCAAGGUUUUUUAAAAGAUGGUUUUCAUUUGAAAACUACAUUGUUAAUCUUGACAUGAAUAUUUGCCUGUCUACAGCUGAAGAACUGAAGGACUGAAUCUAGAUUGGGAUUAGAGAUGAAGUAAUAGCCCUGCACUCAAGGAAUUCCUGGUUGAGUGGUACUGGUGGACCUGGUGACUUCUGUGCUUCUCACCAAGAGGAACAUUGCACUUAAAGCAUCUGACUCUGCUCUUCAUUCCCCUUCUUGGUCCUCCUUGUGGACGAAGGACAAAUGGCAUAUCAAGUAGAUGAAAUCUCAAAGAGGCUGAUGCCCAAGGGCCUUUUUGACCAGGGGUUGGGGCCAUUGAAGAAGGCAGACCUAGAAACUGGCUGCUGGGGUCUCUUGUGACAGAAAUGAUUAGGAGAUAAUUUACAGUUCAGAGGCUCUUUGCAGCUGUCUCCUCCUGAUCUAAUAGGAUUUCCUGUCUGCAUUUCUUUGGGGAUGUCAGCAGCUGCAGUGGGAGGCCCCAUUUGGAACUCAGGCCCAAGAUCUAUCUCUAACACAGAGUACUAAGAGUCCUAUACUUUGGGGGAACAUAAAGUUUAUGCUAAGUCAUCAUUAGCUCUUCUCUCUGCCCUUAACUUGUUAGGAACCAAAAGAGAGGGUGAUGCUCCCUAACUGCACAACAGGUACUAAUGGAGAUAUGAUUGAAAAGUGCCAGAUUCUGAGGGCCUUGCUUGUGAUUUCUGCCCCCAUCAAAUUUCAUCUUCGUGUGUGAGCAGCAGAAAGCCUUUUUGCACACCCUGGGAGGUAUGGGUGUGACUGCUGACGUGAUAAGGAAUUUCUUUAAUAAGGCAUGAUGGGUUCUGCAGUAUGGGAGAGCUGAGAGGCUGGGCAUGGCUGCAGGGUUUCAAAAAGUGAAAUGAAGACCAGUAGUGACGUAUAAUUAAAAUUUUUUCUAUUCUG